GGAUAUAGCUUGGUGGUAGAGUGCAUGCUUAGCACACAUGAGGUCCUGGGUUCAAUCCCCAGUACCUCCA
rnacentral:tRNA from 1 species